CUGGGAGUAAAGCGCUCACCAAAACCUCAGCCAACAAGAUCUGCUUGGAUGAAGAGAGAGAGGAAGAGGGUGUUGGAAGAAGCACUUUCAGGUGUGCAAACCGACCAGGCUCCUCCACAUCAAUCCGAGUCAGAACAUGAACCGGGAUGCAGCAGUUGGAUUGAGCAACCUGACACUAGCGGGCAAUCUAGCCAGUCUGCCGGUACCCAGACAUGGGUCCCUACCAGUUCUACGGGAACCCAAACAUGCAGGUCUGCCACAUCAUAUGCAA